ACGAAGCCGCGAGGUGGAGNAAACCCAAAAAAGACAGUCUCAGUUCGGAUUGAAGGCUGAAAUUCGCCUUCAUGAAGCCGGAAUUGCUAGUAAUGGCAGGUCAGCAUACUGCCGUGAAUACGUUCCCGGGCCUUGUACACACCGCCCGUCACACCAUGAGAGUUGGGGAUACCCGAAGCCUGUGAGCUAACUUUUAGAGGCAGCAGUCGAAGGUAGAAUCAAUGAUUGGGGUGAAGUCGUAACAAGGUAGC
rnacentral:rRNA from 1 species